UUUAAUUNGAAGCAACGCGAAGANCCUUACCAAAUCUUGACNUCNUNUGACUCCUCUAGAGAUAGAGUUUUCCCCUUCGGGGGACAGAGUGACAGGUGGUGCAUGGUUGUCGUCAGCUCGUGUCGUGGGAUGUUGGGUUAAGUCCCGCAACGAGCGCAACCCUUAAGCUUAGUUGCCAUCAUUAAGUUGGGCACUCUAAGUUGACUGCCGGUGACAAACCGGAGGAAGGUGGGGAUGACGUCAAAUCAUCAUGCCCCUUAUGAUUUGGGCUACACACGUGCUACAAUGGACAAUACAAAGGGUAGCGAAACCGCGAGGUCAAGCAAAUCCCAUAAAGUUGUUCUCAGUUCGGAUUGUAGUCUGCAACUCGACUAUAUGAAGCUGGAAUCGCUAGUAAUCGUAGAUCAGCAUGCUACGGUGAAUACGUUCCCGGGUCUUGUACACGCCGCCCGUCACACCACGAGAGUUUGUAACNCCCGAAGCCGGUGGAGUAACCAUUUG
rnacentral:rRNA from 1 species